UACGUAGGGGGCAAGCGUUGUCCGGAAUCAUUGGGCGUAAAGAGCGUGUAGGCGGCUCGUUAAGUCUGCUGUGAAAGUCCAGGGCUCAACCCUGGAAGGCCGGUGGAAACUGUCGGGCUAGAGUCCGGAAGAGGCGAGUGGAAUUCCCGGUGUAGCGGUGAAAUGCGCAGAUAUCGGGAGGAACACCAAUGGCGAAGGCAGCUCGCUGGGACGGUACUGACGCUGAGACGCGAAAGCGUGGGGAGCGAACAGG
rnacentral:rRNA from 1 species